AUUGAACGCUGGCGGCAGGCCUAACACAUGCAAGUCGAGCGGCUGAAGGGAGCUUGCUCCUGGAUUCAGCGGCGGACGGGUGAGUAAUGCCUAGGAAUCUGCCUGGUAGUGGGGGAUAACGUCCGGAAACGGGCGCUAAUACCGCAUACGUCCUGAGGGUGAAAGUGGGGGAUCUUCGGACCUCACGCUAUCAGAUGAGCCUAGGUCGGAUUAGCUAGUUGGUGGGGUAAAGGCCUACCAAGGCGACGAUCCGUAGCUGGUCUGAGAGGAUGAUCAGUCACACUGGAACUGAGACACGGUCCAGACUCCUACGGGAGGCAGCAGUGGGGAAUAUUGGACAAUGGGCGAAAGCCUGAUCCAGCCAUGCCGCGUGUGUGAAGAAGGUCUUCGGAUUGUAAAGCACUUUAAGUUGGGAGGAAGGGCAGUGAGUUAAUACCUUGCUGUGUUGACGGUACCAGCAGAAUAAGCACCGGCUAACUUCGUG
rnacentral:rRNA from 1 species